rnacentral:tRNA from 1 species
GCCCUAUUAGUAUAAUGGUAUUAUACCGGUUUUGUAAUCCGGGGACGGGAGUUCGAUUCUCUCAUGGGGCACCA